CAUCCCAUUUGAUUCUAUAGUAUUCUUAUUAGUGCUGGAUAUACAGCAGGAACAGGAACUUUUAAUUUGUAUUCAUUGGGACUGUAUACCCCUUCCUUUUUAUGCUGAAGAGGAGAGGAUACUCAACCCAAUCAAGAAAUGAAGGAAAAUAAAUUGGAGAUUUUGAGGACCGCCUUCUAUAUUUUAUUUGUGGCAACAGUAGCAUCUUCAAAACCAGUCAGUCUACAUGGAUUCCAAUUCAGAAGCAUGAUGGCUGACAGCCUGGAAUCGUCUGAGUCCUCGGAGUCCAGCAAGUCUUCCUCAGAGAAUGGUCAGCCAAUGGUCGCUGGCACUGAGAUCGCAAUACCAGACACUCAGGAGGAGACAGACCCACCAGACAGUGAAGCUAUAGCCUCUGAAACAGCCUCAGAAGUUGAUGAUGCUUUAAUUGCUUCACAAACCACACUUCAAACGGAUGCCUCAUCAGCAGAUGCACUAAAUGGGACAGACACUGAGGCUACCUCACAGCAUCCAGUCAUCAUCGCAUUGACUGAUUCUCCCAGUCUGACUUCUGAUAAUGUCACAACCCAUAUACGGUCUAUGGUCACAACGGCUCUGCCAUCAAUCACUGACACAGCCACAAUUCAAACAUUAUAUGUGGGCACAACUUCUCCCCCGGGCCCAUACCACAUACCCAUUAUGGAGCAGCCAACUCCUCCACCAGUCUCCCCAAUACCAAGCCUAACUCCCCAGCAGCUAGUUCCAUUGGGAACCACUGAUGACAUAGCUGGUGUGCCAGGUUGUUUUACUGUAGUAUACAUAACCAGCCCUCAUGCUCAGCCAGUUCCUGUUCGAGGUGAUAACAUUUAAAGCAGAGAGGAAGUUAUUAUAUCAUUGAUUAAAGUCAGACAUAAAAACUGGCUUCUUUUUUUCAUUUGUCUUUAUGAACAUAUGAGCACAUUGCAGCCACAUAGUGAGCUGGAGGGGCACCUGUGCUGCAACUGGCUGAAGCGCUCAUGAAAAUGAUUCACUAUAAUAUUUUGCACUAUAUAAGUGAUACAUAUGUAGAUGUACUGUACUUUAUAUUGCUCAGUGUCUUCCAUGAGUCAGUCUCACAUGUAUUUGUAUUUUUUCCCAUCUUUUAUCGUGUGAUUUAUUUUGAAAGGUGACACAGAUUGCAUUAACACUGUCAACAACAUUUUAGUCUAUUUGUAAAAGAGGACCCACCAUCUGUAAAUAAAUGCUCUUUAAACAUUUAGAAAAA